AGUCUUGUUUUGGUUGUGACAUUAUUUUUUUUAAUGAGUUACUAUCAAUACGCUACACGUGUACGUUUCAUGUGAUAGUAACUGUUUCACCAAUAUUCUGAUACAGGAUGGUAUAUCCGCCAUUACUAUUUUCACAUCGUUUAUUUAGUCUGUCAUGGAGUUGUAGAGUGAAUUAGACAGUAGUGAUAACAUUAUAAUGUCCACACAUCAGUGUUGUAAACACUUCUCCAAUUAAUUAUAUAAUUAUGUUUUCACACUGAGGGAAGUGGAGAGACUUGAUGUGGACUGUUAUCAACAGCUCUGUGGGAGAUCAUCACCUUGAAUAUUACAGAUGAGCUCCUGAUGUCCCCAGCAGCAACAUGGUGGAGAUCUGCAGCUUCAUGCUGGUCAACUGGAAGACAACUGAUUAAGAUUAAAAGAUUAAGAUUAAAAUCCAUUUAUUCAUCCCAAACACAUGCACAGACAUGCAAAGGCACACUCAUGCAGGUAGGGAAAUUUAAUCGCUGCUUUUUACCCAUCUGGUGCAGGACACACAGAGCAGUGAGCGACCAUGUACGGCGCUCGGGGGAGCAGAUGUUGGGGGAGUGAGGUGCCUUGCUCAUGGGCACUAGAGAGGGUAGGGAGACUCUUGGAUUUUUGGACAGAUCAAUCCAGGUUCGACUUUUGUUGUCUCUCCAUGGAGUCGAACCAAAGACGAACCAGAGACCUUCUCUGCCCAUAGUCCAAGUUUCUGCCACUCGACCACCGCCUCUCCUCAUGCAUCAUCAAACUAGUAAUCUACACAUCACUCCAUGCGUUGCUCCCUUAACUACAGAUGGCCUGCGAAUGUCAUGGAGUUUUACAGUGAAUUAGACAGUUUAGGUAUGAUUUUAAUCUCCACACAUCAGUGUUGUAAACAGUUCUCAAAUUAAUUAUAGAAUUAUGUUUUCACACUGAGAGAAGUGGAAAGACUUGAUUUGGACUGUUAUCAAUAGGUCUGUGGGAGAUUAUCACCUUGAAUAGUACUGAUGAGGUAGAAAGACAUUUUAUGUAUUUGUACAAUGUUGUAUUUCUUUCAGCACUUUUAUCAGAAGGGACUUAAAAUAUGUACAUUUCACCAUGAGGAUAUAAACCAAGACCACAGUACAACAGUUCUAUCUGAAAUCUGUUGUGCUUUAUACACAACACAAAACAUUCUUUAACAGUGCGUUUUUUCUCUUCAUAGAUGAAGAACUGCAGCACCUGAUGUCCUCAGCAGCAACAUGGUGGAGAUCUGAUUUGAUACACUUUAGAUAAGAACCCAGUGUUUUAUAUUUCUGCUUUGCCAUAAGAGACAGAACAUGGUCAUCACAGCUGUGUCCUUCAGGCUCGUCUGUCCCUAAUAAAAUGAUAGGAAACAUGAAAGUGAUCGUCAUUAUUGUAGAGGAAGAGUUACAUAUGAACAAAGUGUGUAAUCUUAUUUUCUGUGGAUAUUCAACUGUGUAUUUGAAUAUGCUUUUGGAUUAAAACGUGCACUACCAUGACAA